rnacentral:rRNA from 1 species
GAGUUUGAUUAUGGCUCAGGAUGAACGCUGGCGGCAUGCCUAACACAUGCAAGUUGAACGAGAAGUUCUGGAGGGAGUCUUCGGACGAACGAAGGAAUGGAAAGUAGCGAACGGGUGAGUAACGCGUGGGCAACCAACCUUACACAGGGGGAUAACGCAGAGAAAUUUGCGCUAAUACCGCAUAAGCGCACAGUACCGCAUGGUACGGUGUGAAAAACUCCGGUGGUGUAAGACGGGCCCGCGUCUGAUUAGUUAGUUGGUGAGGUAAAAGCUCACCAAGGCGACGAUCAGUAGCCGACCUGAGAGGGUGAUCGGCCACAUUGGGACUGAGACACGGCCCAAACUCCUACGGGAGGCAGCAGUGGGGGAUAUUGCACAAUGGAGGAAACUCUGAUGCAGCAAUGCCGCGUGAAGGAAGACGGUUUUCGGAUUGUAAACUUCUAUCAGCAGGGAAGAAAAUGACG